rnacentral:rRNA from 1 species
AUUGAACGCUGGCGGCGUGCCUAACACAUGCAAGUCGAACGGAGCUAUAAGAAGUUUUCGGACGGAAUAUAGCUUAGUGGCGGACGGGUGAGUAACGCGUGGGUAACCUGCCUCAUACAGGGGGAUAACAGUUGGAAACGACUGCUAAAACCGCAUAAGAUUGUAGUAUCGCAUGAUACAGCAAUAAAAUAUUUAUAGGUAUGAGAUGGGCCCGCGUCUGAUUAGCUAGUUGGUGAGGUAAUGGCUCACCAAGGCGACGAUCAGUAGCCGGCUUGAGAGAGUGACCGGCCACAUUGGGACUGAGACACGGCCCAAACUCCUACGGGUGGCUG